rnacentral:sRNA from 1 species
UUAUAUAAAGAAGGCGCAGUAUUCUAGUCGGUUUUCAACUUUUGGAAGGCGUUAAAAGCGCUGACGGGCAUAUCUGUGAAGUUCGUGGUGCUGGCCUUGAUUGCCCAAAUCGGGGCUGGUGCUGGGAGUUAAGAUUUUUGGGCGCGCCAUAACGGCAUAUGGCACCCGACCCAAAUUUCGUGGAGACCCAAUCGGGUGGGAAAGGUAUUUUCGCACUCUUUGGGCUGAACCUGCAUUGCGGUAAAAAAGUUGCUGUGUGCAUUGUAGCCUGCUUUGAGUGAAAUAGUUGGGAUACGGAUAAAAACCAAACACAAUGUUAGGCCAACAUUUGUUUAGGAAGUUUAUAUACAUAAACGCUCCGUUGAAAUUCGUUUUGCAAAAAAAGCUAAGAAUUGUUUAGACCGUUUGAGAAAUUCUCUAGGCUGUUGCUCUUGUCUGGCAAAAUGGGGAUUAUAGUGUGGUCUAAGUGGCGAUUCGGUGAAGUCUUGUCCUUAAAAGGAAACUGCUUGUUCGGUGACGGCAAGUGGACAUAGCGGGAAAUCCAACCGAACCUAUGCUGCAAGGUUUACUCAUUUUGUUGCCUUCU